CUUCAUGAAGCCGGAAUUGCUAGUAAUGGCAGGUCAGCAUACUGCCGUGAAUACGUUCCCGGGCCUUGUACACACCGCCCGUCACACCAUGAGAGUUGGGAAUACCCGAAGCCUGUGAGCUAACGUUAAGAGGCAGCAGUCGAAGGUAGAAUCAAUGAUUGGGGUGAAGUCGUAACAAGGUAUC
rnacentral:rRNA from 1 species